rnacentral:rRNA from 1 species
UUAAAGUUGUGCGGUUAAAAAGCUCGUAGUUGAAAUUGUGUCCUGCGGCGUCGGUCUACCGAUUGCGGUACGACCGGUGCGUCUGCGGGGCUUCUCGCCGGUGCGUGAUCAUCGCUGAUACGUCGUCGCGCCGUUCGUUUAUUCGUUCGCGCGACGGCGUCGAAGCGGUCCCUCGCGGCUGUUUACUUUGAACAAAUUAGAGUGCUCAAAGCGGGCUUACAUUCGCCUGAAUAUUGUGCGCAUGGAAUAAUAGAAUAGNNNNNNNNNNNNNNNNNNNNNNGGCUUUCUGAUACCGGAGGUAAUGAUUAAUAGGGACGACUGGGGGCAUUCGUAUUGCGACGUUAGAGGUGAAAUUCUUGGAUCGUCGCAAGACGGACUAAAGCGAAAGCAUUUGCCAAAGGUGUUUUCAUUAAUCAAGAACGAAAGUUAGAGGUUCGAAGGCGAUUAGAUACCGCUGUAGUUCUAACCAUAAAUGAUGCCAGCCAGCGAUCCGCCGAAGUUUUUUAUUUUGAUUCGGUGGGCAGCUCCCGGGAAACCAAAGCUUUCGGGCUCCGGGGGGAGUAUGGUUGCAAAGCUGAAACUUAAA